rnacentral:rRNA from 1 species
UACGAAGGGGGCUAGCGUUGCUCGGAAUUACUGGGCGUAAAGGGCGCGUAGGCGGGUCGUUUAGUUAGAGGUGAAAGCCCAGGGCUCAACCCUGGAAUUGCCUUUAAUACUGGCGGCCUUGAGUAUGGCAGAGGUGUGUGGAACUCCGAGUGUAGAGGUGAAAUUCGUAGAUAUUCGGGAAGAACACCAGUGGCGAAGGCGACACACUGGGCCAUUACUGACGCUGAGGCGGCGAAAAGCGUGGGGAGCAAACAGGG